GUGGGGAAUAUUGGACAAUGGGCGCAAGCCUGAUCCAGCCAUGCCGCGUGUGUGAAGAAGGCCUUCGGGUUGUAAAGCACUUUUGUUGGGAAAGAAAUCCUGUCGGCUAAUACCCGGCGGGGAUGACGGUACCCAAAGAAUAAGCACCGGCUAACUUCGUGCCAGCAGCCGCGGUAAUACGAAGGGUGCAAGCGUUACUCGGAAUUACUGGGCGUAAAGCGUGCGUAGGUGGUUCGUUAAGUCAGAUGUGAAAGCCCCGGGCUCAACCUGGGAAUUGCAUUUGAUACUGGCGGACUAGAGUGAGGUAGAGGAGAGUGGAAUUCCCGGUGUAGCAGUGAAAUGCGUAGAGAUCGGGAGGAACAUCAGUUGCGAAGGCGGCUCUCUGGACCAGCACUGACACUGAGGCACGAAAGCGUGGGGAGCAAACAGGAUUAGAUACCCUGGUAGUCC
rnacentral:rRNA from 1 species